rnacentral:rRNA from 1 species
AGGACGAACGCUGGCGGCGUGCUUAACACAUGCAAGUCGAACGGUGAAGCCCUUCGGGGUGGAUCAGUGGCGAACGGGUGAGUAACACGUGAGCAAUCUGCCCUUGACUCUGGGAUAACUUCGGGAAACCGGAGCUAAUACCGGAUAUGACAUACGGCCGCAUGGUCUGUGUGUGGAAAGAUUUAUCGGUCAGGGAUGAGCUCGCGGCCUAUCAGCUUGUUGGUGGGGUAAUGGCCUACCAAGGCGACGACGGGUA